GAGGUUCUGGGAGAGUCACAAGAGGUGACACAAUAGAGGCUCGGGAAACAAACUUACUGUACUAAUCAGAGUUGGGAACAGAAGAGACGGUGCCUCAUGUGGGGAUGUGGGAAAGCCCAAAGGUCUUCAGGCAGCAGGAGGCAGGAGAAAGCACAAACUUUUCCUUUGGAGAUGCAGAAGAAUAUCUUAGGGUUGGCUAUAGGACUCAGUUGUUGUUCUGAGAGGUGGGAUGAACCCACUAUGCCCUGUAGAAGCUUGGUUCUAGGAGUUAUACUGUCUUAGUUAGGGAUGCUGUUGCUGCAAUGAAACACCAUGACUAAAGCAACUAGGUAGAGAGUUGUUUGAAUCACACUUCCACAUCACUGUUCAUCAUGGAAGGAAGUCAGGACAGGAACUCAGGGCAGGAGCCUGGAGGCAGGAGCUGCUACAGGGGCCAUGGAGGGGAGCUGCUUACUGGCUUGCUCCCCAUGGCUUGCUCAGCCUGCUGUCUUAUAGCACUUAGGACCCCCUGCCCAGGGAGGGAACUGCUGAAAUGGGCUGGGCUCUUCCCCAUCAAUUACUAAUUAAGAAAAUGCCUUACAGGCUUGCCUACACCCGAUCUUGUGGAGGCGUUUUCCCAAUUGAGGCUCCCUCUUCAGUAACUCUAGCCUAUGUCAAGUAGACAUAAAGCUAUCCAGCACACUCAUGAUUACCAGAAAUACAUGAAUGUUCAGGUCUAGCAUGGGAAGCAGCGUAGCAUUUGCAUAUGACGCAUGUGCACCCUCCCACGUACUUCAUCCCAUCUCUACAUUGUUCAUAACAUUUAAUACGAUGUAAAUAGGGAUUGUUUGGUGUGGUUUAGGAGUCGGGGUGAGAAGUCAACUGUACUUGCUCACUACAGGUGCAGCUCCCCUCACAUAGUUUCCAGCUACAUUUUGUUGGCCCUAUGAUACAGACAGCUGAUGACACUGUCUCCUGGGGUGUGUCGACCAGAUGGAGAAAGAUGGGUCUGGGCAGAUUUUAGAGAAAGAAAACGAACAGAGUCAACCCCGACUUUGACCCCCGGGAGCUGGAGGAGAAGAUACUGACUCUGCUAUGGUGGUUGGUUGUGGCGCCUCAAAACCCGCACGCCUGUCUCGACCUGGCAAGGUGUGGACCUGGCUAGCUGAUGCAGAGCAUAGACGCGCUGAUGAAUUCACUUCUGUGGCUCAUCUCCACCUUUCUCUAAUUUGAACUUGGGUGUUGUUUUGCUGUUUUAUGAGUCUGAGUGUAAUUAGUCACAAUUAAAAAUCCGAAAUCUCUAAGCAUGUUUGCAGUCCAAUUUCAUCUGAGGCAAUAAAAACAAAUAACUCA